UGGUCAGGGAGGGAGACACCGGCUUACGACGUCAAACGAGACUCACACGGAGGGAGAGGAGGGAGCACGAGCGGCCAGACUGCCAAUUCCCCACGGUCUCCUCGUCUCCGUCCAUCACUCCGCUCGCUCCACCACGCUGACUUGUUUCCACGCCGCAGAAGGAAACACGCGCGCGCCGAUGACAGGAGCGACGCUGGCUGACAAUUGUGUCGCUCCACGGAGAGAUCAGGCCUGACUUGUCACACAUGAACCGAACCUUCUCUUAGCACAGAACCGCGAGUGGAAGACACGACACACGCGCAUUCACUGAGACGAGCAGAACCACAGACUUUUCAAUGAAGGAACCGGACGCCAUCAAGCUCUUCAUCGGGCAGAUACCCCGAAACCUGGAGGAGAAGGACCUCAAGCCCAUUUUUGAGCAGUUCGGCAAAAUCUACGAGCUGACGGUGAUAAAGGACAAGUACACAGGGAUGCACAAAGGUUGUGCUUUCCUCACCUACUGUGCACGUGAGUCCGCCCUCAAAGCCCAGAAUGCUUUGCAUGAGCAGAAGACUCUACCUGGGAUGAAUCGACCCAUCCAGGUGAAACCGGCUGACAGUGAGAGCAGAGGGGAAGACAGGAAACUGUUCGUGGGCAUGCUGGGGAAGCAGCAGGCGGACGCUGACGUGAGGAAGAUGUUUGAGCCAUUCGGCAGCAUAGAGGAGUGUACGGUGCUCCGCGGCCCUGACGGCACCAGCAAAGGUUGUGCGUUCGUCAAGUUCCAGAGCAACGCAGAGGCCCAGGCUGCCAUCAAUGCUUUGCAUGGGAGUCGCACUCUACCUGGAGCAUCGUCCAGUCUGGUGGUGAAGUUUGCUGAUUCUGAGAAGGAGCGAGGUCUCAGGAGGAUGCAGCAGGUGGCCUCUCAGUUGGGGGUCAUCAGUCCCAUGACCCUGCAUUUGGGGGCGUACAACGCUUACACACAGGCGCUGAUGCAGCAGCAGGCUUUGGUGGCUCAGUCGGCAUAUCUCUCUCCUGUUGCCACGGUGGCAGCGGUCCAGAUGCAGCAGCUCGCCGCCCUCAACCCCAGCAGCAUCAUCGCCACACCAAUCGCAUCCAUCACCCCCUCCUCAGGUACCAGCACUCCGCCCUCCAUCGCAGCGACACCAGUUCCUACUCUGCCACCGCCCAUCGCAGUCAACAGCUACCAGUCUGUGCCCACCGCCCCCAACGGCCAGUCGGCUACCGAGGCCCUCUACACCAACGGGGUCCACGCCUACCAAGCUCAGAGUCCUGUUCUGGACCCGCUGCAGCAGGCGUACACUGGAAUGCAGCACUACACAGCUACCUACCCUGCUGCCUAUGGACUAGUGGGUCAGCCCUUCCCUCACCAGCCCACCCUGGUGGCCCAGCAGCCGCAGCAACAGCCCACCCAGCUGCAGCAGCGAGAAGGCCCAGAGGGCUGCAACAUCUUUAUCUACCACCUCCCGCAGGAGUUCACUGACUCUGAGAUCCUGCAGAUGUUUCUGCCCUUCGGGAAUGUCAUUUCUGCCAAGGUGUUUGUGGAUAGAGCCACCAACCAAAGCAAAUGUUUUGGUUUUGUGAGUUUCGACAACCCGUCCAGCGCUCAGACUGCCAUCCAGGCCAUGAACGGUUUUCAGAUCGGCAUGAAGAGACUGAAGGUUCAGCUCAAGAGGCCCAAGGAUGCCAACAGGCCUUACUGAAAGAGAACCACUCUCAAGACUCUCCAUACAUAACUCGUGGAGACGUUCGUCGCUAUGGCUAUGGUUGCCUAGCAACCGCUAAAUCCUCCCCCUACCUUCUCGCUGCGUUGAAAGAGUUCAAUCAAGAAAAAAAAAUUGCCACUCGGGAUGACCCAGCCUUGUUUGGUUGCUUGACCAACCGUAUAGCACAGGAGCCACACUUCUCUAACGCAGUAUCGUGAUCAUGUGUGCGCUUUCUAACACAGCAGUGGACAGGUUGAACACUGACAGAAGUGCUCCGGACUUCCAAUCAUUCCACAGCUGGAUUAUACCAUGUACAUAAUCUCUACUGUCAGCCAGAUCUACAUGUUAACAAAAAGCAUAUCAAUGAUGUUAUUCUACUCUACAGGGUUCUGAUGUAUAUUGUGAUUCGUCUUAAAUGCUGGAGGGAAAAGAAAAUACUAUUCUCUAUGAUUACUAUUGACAAUAUUGUUAAGUAGAUUUAGUUUUAUUAUUUAUAUUUGGCCACUUCCUCUCACUGUACAUACUGAAAAAAAACAAGCUAAUAAUAUCCUGCCACCACUUUUACAUAAAAAAAAACUGGGAGGAAGGGCCAGAGGUUUUUUCUAUCUUAAUUUAAAGUUUGUUUUCAACACUGAAUCUGUUGGGAGGGAAGGGUGCGGAGGGGUUGAGGCGAGACUUACUAUUGAUUUAACUAUAGAAGUAUUCCUGUGGUCUUUGAGACGAUGAAGAAAAAAAAGUUAUGAUAGAGUUUUUAAUUUAAAAAUAUGUACCUAUGGGAGUAACAAAGAAUAAUGUUUCUUUAUUUAUUGUCUUUAAAAACAAAAUAAAGUACAAUUUAGGAUAAACGUGUGUCUGGUCUGCGUGGUGUUAUUGUGAGAUGAGAUCAGAGAACCUCAUUUUGCCAAGGGUCGUUUUGCCUCCACCACACACAAAGCCUGAAGGCCAUUGGAACCUGUUAGUUUCAGUAGCAUAGAAAAUCCAAUCAUGAUCUGCACGCAUCUGAGCUACUAGACCAACCCUGGAAAGUGAAAGGAUU